AUCCAGUUGACGAGUCCCAAAUAGGACUAAAUACGCAUCCUGGAU
rnacentral:hammerhead_ribozyme from 1 species